AUGCGCCUCACCCCCUUGUCCCCUACUAUGUCAAGGCCUUGGAUGUCCACAGGUCCGCUCCCGGCCUCACCCACCCCGGCCUGGGAGGGCCCCCUAUUUCUCACCAAUACCCAGGGAAUUAAUUCCUUGCGACGCAAAGGGCAGGGGCAGAACUGGACAGAAAGCUCCAGGGUGGGCGGGAGGAAGCUAAAAGCCCAAAUUCUCAGGGGCGCAGGGGUGAAGAACUCUACCCGCUCCCAUCCUCCGGGUGUCCCCAUUUUGAAGAUGGGGAAACUGAGGCCUGGGGAAGGGGAGGGGCCGACCGCAAAGGAAGCCCGAGCCCGGUUCUCCCCGCUGCCUGGGAGACUCAGGCCGGACCACGUUGCCCGGUCGGGAGGGGGAACUUUAGAGAAGUCAAGGGGCAUUCGGGCUGCACCCUUCUCCCCAGAACUCCCUGGCACUGGGUCCGGGGGUUGGGCGGGGCGAUGCCCGGGCCCGGUGGGGCCAGUAGGACCACUAGGAGGCUGCCGGCGGAGCUGGGCCAGGGUCCAUGGGGCCGGAGAGGGAGCCGCGGAGUGGCUGCAGCCUCAGCUAUGUCAACAAUUUCCUCUCUUCUCCCCCUUUCCCUCCAACAGACCCGGCAGCCUCAGUCCCGGAGGGGCGGGCACACGGUCUCCCCACCGCCCACUCAUCCCAGGCCCAGGGACCCGGCCAGAGUCAGGGCCAGGCCCGAAUCCUCAGUCCUCACCGAAUUCACGCAGAAAACUUCGAGGUGCGACACGUGUGCCCAGAGAUCAGACAGCUCAGUCGUGGAAAUGGACACCGGCCCCUCAAGCGGGCUACCGUGGCCAUCCAGGCCCAAAUCCGGCCGGAGCCACUGCUCACAUACGUUGCUCACCCGGGCUUGAAAACGGACCCCAGUUGCCUUCUGCACUCGCUCAGGUGAGCACGUACACACCCACGUGCACCCCUGAACCCACCAGUCCCUGUGCGGGCAGGGGGAGCCGCCGUACAGGGGUCAGACCGAGACAGGCCAGGGGAGAGGGGAGGGUCCUGGGGAUAGGGGGAGAGGAAGUUGGAGGAUGGAGAAGCCCGGGGAGGGGGCGUGGGGCCGAGUGGCCCUGGCAGCUGAGCCCCCCAUCUCCCAACAAACCCUCCAGGGUCAUCCCCGGGCCUGUCCGAGGGGGCCCGUUCAGCCCUGGCCCGAGCCCGGCUCUCCUUAGCUCCGCAGUGCCGGGGGCCCAGCCGGGCAGGACGGUCCCCGCGGGACCACCCCCCAUCCCUCAGUUACCUCACCUGUAA
rnacentral:lncRNA from 1 species